GGCCUAUUCGAUUAAAGUUUAUUUUUUAUUUAAAAUAUUAUUUUAUAGGGGUUAUUUUUAAUUUUCUAAUAGUUUAAUUUAUAAAAAAUAUGUUAUAGGACUUAAAGACAAAGUUUGUGCCAGCAGUCGCGGUCAUACUCUAUUUAUUAAAUUUUGUUAUUUCUAAUAAUUUUUAUUAAUCUCUUUAUUUUUAGGUGAAAUUUUAAAUAGUUUUUGUUUUUUAGAAGAUUAGUAAUUUAAUUAAAAACUAGGAUUAGAUACCCUAUUAUUUAAAGGUUGCUUUAAAGUAGUAAAUUAUUUUUUCUAAACUUAAUUCUUCUGGCGGUUCACUACUCUAGCAGAGGAGCUUGUUAAUUUAAUUUGAUAACCCCCCUUUAAUUUCACCACUUUUGUUUUUAUGUACGGCUGUUAAGUUUUAACAUACAGGUUAUUGCUUUUUACGUUAGUGUUUUAAUUCAGGUCAAUGUGUAAAUUAUAAAGUGGUUUUAAUGAGCUACUUUUUUGUAUAAAAUUAAUUUUAUUUGAAAUUGGAUUUGAUAGUAAAUAAGAAAUUCAAUUUCUUAUUGAUGUGGAUUUUUGGUGAAAGUACAUAUCGCCCGUCACUCUUUUGAUAGAUAAGUCGUAACAAAGUAGAAAUACUGGAAGGUGUUUCUUGUUU
rnacentral:rRNA from 1 species